rnacentral:lncRNA from 1 species
UUGAUUCAUCAUUUUAGUUGUAUUUUAUAUUAUCUAAGAUUAUGAUGAAUCCCAAAAAUAGAGACAAUAAUUUUAGGAGACAUGAAUGGGUUAUGCUAGUGAGAUCUAAAAUUCUAAAAUUCUAAUCUUAAAUAUUUUUUAUCAUAGAAAUAUUUAGUCGGAGAUCAAUAUUUUGGAUAGACUGGCACAUCCUAUGUAUGCUCGAUGGAGAGGGUGGC